CUGGGAUCAUGUAAUAGAGAGCAUGGUGUCUGGGAUCCUGUAAUACAGAGAGCAUGGUGUCUGGGAUCCAGUAAUACAGAGAGCAGGGUGUCUGGGAUCAUGUAAUAGAGAGCAUGAUGUCUGGGAUCCUGUAAUACAGAGAGCAGGGUGUCUGGGAUCCUGUAAUACAGAGAGCAGGGUGUCUGGGGUCCUGUAAUACACAGAGCAUGGUGUCUGG